rnacentral:rRNA from 1 species
AUGGCUCAGAUUGAACGCUGGCGGCGUGCCUAACACAUGCAAGUCGAGCGGGGAUUACGGAAGAGCUUGCUCGGAAGUAAUCUAGCGGCGGACGGGUGAGUAACGCGUGAGCAACCUGCCUUCAACAGGGGGAUAACGCAUCGAAAGAUGUGCUAAUACCGCGUAAGACCACGGGAUCACAUGGUUUUGAGGUCAAAGGAGCAAUCCGGUUGAAGAUGGGCUCGCGUCCGAUUAGCUAGUUGGUGAGAUAACAGCCCACCAAGGCGACGAUCGGUAGCCGACCUGAGAGGGUGAUCGGCCACAUUGGAACUGAGAGACGGUCCAGACUCCUACGGGAGGCAGCAGUGGGGAAUAUUGGGCAAUGGGCCGAAAGCCUGACCCAGCAACGCCGCGUGAGGGAAGAAGGGUUUCGGCUCGUAAACCUCUGUCCUAAAGGGCGAAAAAGAUGACGGUACUUUAGGAGGAAGCCCCGGCUAACUACGUGCCAGCCGCAGC